CCACUGACGUCCCCUCCCGGAUGCUGUAGCACCGCCCACCCAUCCGGCUGACCGCUGACGUCACCUUCCCGACGCUGUAGCACCGCCUGCCCGCUGACCGCCGACGUCACCUUCCCGGGGCCAGGGUGCCACCCACCGCUGACCAAUGACGUUACCUUCCCGAGGCCCACCCGCUGAUAGCUGAAGUCACCUUCCCGACCCUGUAGCGCUGCCUACCCGCUGACCGCUGAGGUCACCAUCCUGAGGCCACGGCACCACCCACCCGCUGACCGCUGACAUCACCUUCCUGAGGCCACGGCGCCACCCACCCGCUGACCACUGACGUCACCUUCCUGAGGCCACGGCGCCACCCACCCGCUGACCGCUGACGUCAUCUUCCCGACGCUGUAGCACCACCCACCCGGCUGACCACAAGCCUUCUGCCGCCCCCUCACCCCUCGUGCGUGCAGCACGGUUUGGGUAUAUUCACACUCAGGUAUAAAAACAUGAAUCAGCUGGCAACAUAUUUCUCAGGCAAGACUGCAGCCAUUUUAUUAGCAGGUCAUUAACUGGAACUGUGGAGAGAGCUGAGUCAUCACGGACCGUGACAGGAGCCGGAACCUGCAUUCUUGUCACGCAGUGCAGCACGAGGUCCUCGUCAUAUAUGUAGUUACCUACUUGUUCCGCUUUCAUCGAAACAACGACUGAUCACCUGUGGACAUCACUUCCCCUGGUAACUGGUCCCAGGCGCUGGCAGUAGGGACUCCAACCUUUGGACUCAGUGAAGGAGCCUCAGAGAACGAUGUGGUUCUCCUGUGGAUCCUUGGUUCUGGAAAUGAAGUGCCUCAGGACUCAGUUUAUUUGUGGAAUGAAGCAUUCAACUAAAUGAAGGUAAAAAUAGGGAACCCUACAAGCUUUCUGCAUAUAAGAUACAAGAACAGUUUUUUUCAGUGCACCUGUGCCUGGCACAUUUUCCUAGGGACACCCCAGUCCUCCUGUUUGCCUCCAGGGUCGUUGGUCACUCUGUGUGACAUUCAGCUGGUCCCCAGGUAGUUCUCCCAGAUGUUACACAUGCAGCUGGUCUCAAUUCCUGUGCUUCCACGUGACAUUUUCAUAUUAUUUGAAGACUCUUGACUUGGACCGAGUUAGCAUAAACCUCACCAGGUUUACUGUUGUGACACAUGCACUUGUGUGUUGCUGGGCCAUGUGUUUCCCUGUAUAACCUGCCUGGUUUUUCACAGCCAGAGAUGGGUGUAGUUAAAGCGCUCCAAAUCACAGACCUCCAAGAAUUGAUGUACCUUUUUGAUACAUCUCCCUCCUGAUAGGUCUACUUUUUUUCCA